UUAUGGUUCCAGUCCCUGGAAUAAGGCUUAAACUUACAACCUGAGACAUGUUCCUUUGGCUUUUGGGUCCAUCCUGGGCUCUUCAUUCAACUUGAGUCAUACUUUUUCAUAAGCCACAGCUUAUGUUGACAGCUAAACAGAAUUUUAUUUAUUUUUGUUUUUAUCUUGUAUCUUAUCUGUAGCUCAGGGAUUUAAGGAUUUCCCCCCCCCCCCCCCAUUUUGUUCUAUCUAUCCCUUUUAGUCUCAGCAAGACAGUUUCUUUAAGAACUUUGUGGAUUUGUUAUAUGUCAAUGUAUGAGCUUAGCCCUUUAGAUAAAAUCCAUAUUCACAAAUCUCUUAGAGAUAAACCCAUUUCUGUUUUGGGCCUCCCAUGUGACUUCUGUGGAAUAGCAUCCUUAACAUUUUUAGAAACGCUGAUUUUUUUUUUUUUUUCUCUUAACAGAGACACACCUUGGGGGCCACCAGAAGGCUUUUGUCUUUCUGAACAUGUCUACGGGUCACGGACAAACAUCAUUCUGAUGUCUUCAUGAUGGUCUUCACAGUUAACCAAAGACUCAAAUUAGAACCAUCUCAAGAAACCAUACAGCCCUUUUGAAAAUGAAAAGUAAAAAUUACCCUGGAAUAUCACACUAAUGGAAUUGAAGGGGAAAAGUGCAGGGUGAGAAAGAAGGAACACGAUAAUAUCUCAAAGGUUCACUUGUUGAGUUUACUUGGCAAUGGAAAAAAAACAUUGCAGAGAAUAUGAAAUUACAUGGAAAUGUCUGGUUUAACAUAAAUAGAACUGUGUGGCGCAGAAGCUUAUGAGGCCAUGGGGGACUUGCAGCUAUUCUGUUACCGAAAGGCCGACUAGGUCAGCAGGCUGUACGAGAAAGAGCCAAGUCCAUCAGGCAAAUAUGAGGACUGACAACCUGGUCGUAGCCUCCCAAGGCUUGACGCGAUGCAAGACGGAAAGGUGCUGUCUGAAGUACUGAAAGUGAACUUCAUUUGCAAAACUUACAGAUUCCUUUGGUGAUUAAAAAAAAAUUGGCAGACUGCGUUUGAUAUUUCUAAAUGGAAUAAAUUAAUCUUUGACUAUUUUAGUCUGUCCAAGAGCCAAACACACAAAAAUGAAAUAAUGGUGAGAGAUGUAUUAAAAAUGGUAUCUAAAAGCAGGCUUCACCCCUUGAGACUACUUGAAGCAAAUGGGCACUCUAAAGAGGCAGAUGUCUCAGAAUUUUCUUGGAAGGUUAAAAUCCGAAAAGAAGACAGCAAGGAACAGAGCCCGUCCAGUGUAAUUCUCAUUGGUGUUACUGUUGCGCCUACAAGAAGUCGAAGUCAUUGUUGUGGAAAAGGAAAAGAAGCAUGACAGACUUGCCUAUAGAGCAUUUUCCCAUAUGGGGAAGAGAGACAGGUUCAUAUCCCAGCUUCAAUCUUAUGGAGACUUGUAGAUGUUUCUCUGUGAUGAAUGACACCAUUUUUUCCAACAUUGACAUAAUUCUAAAAUACCUCCUAAUUACUGCAAAUGGAAGGAGGCUAUGCAUAUAGAACAUGAAAAAUAGCAAAAAAAAAAAAGUUUGAACCCAUAAAAUAAAAUAUAUAUAUAUAUAUUUGUACACAAUACACAGACUAUAUAAACUACAUUACCAGGCUAAAAACAAACAAGAAAUGUAUGAACAAGUAAAUAAUCAAAAUUAAAUUAGUAUUGUUGUUUGAAAAGUUCAAACACUUUGACUAGUAAAGCAACCCAAUAAAAAUUGACAAAUUGUCACAGAGAAAUAAUACACAAAAUCAUACCCUACCUCAUUGCUGAUCAAGAGACUUACAAAUUAAAACAAUUUAAGAUAUCUUUUUCCACCCACAAAUUACCUAAGAUUAUUUUUAAAAUAAUAUUUGUUGGGUUGCAAGGAAACUUACACUCUCAAAAAAUGGUAGUGUGAGAACCAAAGGUUCUAGAGGAUGAUGUUGGAACUAUAUAUCAAGGUCCCUCAAAGGUUAAUACGUUUGACCCAUAGAUUUGAUAGAUAGGUACUAGCUUAAGGAAGUAGAGCUGUGACAAAGUGCAUAAAGAAUUACAGAUUGUAAGUAAUAGAGUGAAAAGUGUAAGUUAAUUAAAUGCUAAAAUGUAAUAGAAUAAUCAAAGAGAUUUUGUUCGGCUGUAAUAUGUGGUCAUGCAAAAUGGAGAUAUUGUAAAAGAAAAAAGUUUACACAAACAUUAAGCCCUGGAUGCAUGAAACAAAUCUGUACAAGCCAAGGGAUCCCAGUUUUGUAAAUUCAUGAAUAUAGUCAUAAAAAUAUAUACAGCUAACAUAACGGUUAAGCUUGGAUGGUGUAACAGGCCACUUUCAUUUUCUUGCAUGUAUACAUUUCUGAAUCUUCUACUGUAAAAUGGUAUUUUUUCCAGAAAUAUAGAGACAGUGGACAAAAUAGGUUUGAUUAGAUUUUUUUUUAAGAUUUUAUUUAUUUAUUCAUGAGAGACACAGAGAGAGAGGCAGAGACACAAGC